rnacentral:sRNA from 1 species
AGGUGUGACUGAUGGGAAUGAAGUGGCCAAGGCCCAGCAGGCAACUCCUGGGGGAGCAGCCCCAACCAUCUUCUCCCGGAUCCUGGACAAGAGCCUCCCAGCUGACAUUCUCUAUGAGGACCAGCAGUGUCUUGUGUUCCGUGAUGUGGCCCCUCAGGCUCCUGUGCACUUCCUGGUCAUUCCUAAGAAGCCCAUUCCUCGGAUUAGCCAGGCUGAAGAAGAAGACCAGCAGGUGGGAAGAACAGGGCCAGGGUUUGGCUGGGAGGAGCCCCUGGACCCAGCUAGAGGUCUUGCUCCCUAUGAAUGAAGCCACCUAUGUCCCUCCGCUCUCUCUAUAGCUUCUAGGACACCUACUCCUUGUGGCCAAGCAGACAGCAAAGGCUGAGGGCCUGGGAGAUGGAUACCGACUUGGUGAGUGAAUUUUGGCCCUGGUCCCUCACCUAUGAAUUCUCAUUCCUACUUCUCAAUAUGAUCUUCAUUCUUCGACCUCUGCCAUGAUCCUGACUCCCUAACCCCAAGCUCAAUUUCAGUGAUCAAUGAUGGGAAGCUGGGUGCACAAUCUGUGUAUCAUCUGCACAUUCAUGUACUUGGGGGCCGGCAGCUCCAGUGGCCUCCAGGUUGAACCUGCCAACUGACUAAAGGACACCAGACUCUGGAUACUUGGAUGGAAAGGGAAAAAUGGACCCUGUGAUGCUAAUAAAACUGUUCUCCCUUAA